UUCCCCGGUUCCGCCCACCUUCGAGCGGGGCCAAUCGCUGAGCAGCAGUGCCAGCCAAUGAGAAGACGGCGCCUUAUUUAAACGUGGCGGCGACGGCGGCGGGUCGCUCUCGCUGAGGAGGCUGCGAUGGCAGCGGGGUCUCGGCGGCCUCUGAAGGCUGGGGCUCAGGCUUAGAAUUCGCCUUUCGGUUUUGUGAACAGGUUGGUGGAAGCGAAGAGAGUCACAGCACUUCCACCGGAAAUGCAGCUGUCUUGGCGGUUGCCGGCACAGUCAUUCCCUCACAGUACUUUGAGGGAGAUCAACAUACUCGUCCGGGAUCGCUCCGCCACUGCCUGGGCCCAAAAGGGAGAAAAUGAGGAAAAUGGAAAUUAAAUGUACAGUUAGUGUGAACGUGCUGAUAUCAGUGCGUGGUGUCGGUUCAGCGGCUCAGUAAUUUACCUGCUGGUUCUUACUUCGGGAUUCUGGGAGCAAAACCAGGUUUCUCUUCACAAAGCAAUGCUGUUGAUGCACAGUUUUUAAAAACCCAAAAUGAACUAUACUGAAUAUUUUUUGUUUGCCCUCCACGGUUUCUUACUCUGUGACGUCUGUUUUACUCAAAGAGGGGGAGUAGCCAGCUGCCUAUCACCAUGCAGCCCUGUGGAGAGAGACCUUGUGGGGAGGAACUCUGGCCCAGAUGUGAGUUCGGAGGUGAAGUCUGCUCCAGGAUGGCCUCUAGAGACUGCAUUGCCAUGAACUUUGACCUCAGCUCCAGGGGAGAUCUUGAGCCACAGCCACCAGCUCAGUCACUAGACUCCUGACCCACCGGACCUGGCAGGCAAUAAACGCGUGCUGUUUUAAGACACUGUCUGCUAUAAUUGGUCUAAUUCGUUACACAGCAGUAGAGAAUUAGGUGUCUCACACAGCACUGACUCCAGUGGGAAGACAUGCUUCGCAGAAAUGAACUCCUGUCUGUGGAAUUCACUGAGCUACCAGCUGCCCGCGGAGGCUGAAUUAUGGUGUCAGAUGUAGACAGCAGCUGGCAAGGUCAGGCAUGUCCUGUGACAGAGCUUGUGCCUUUUAUAAACCAGCAGUGCCCCCUCCCGUGACCAGAGUGUACAGUUGUGGGAGUGAGGGGCAGUGGUGAGAAUGGCCCUCACUGUCACAGGGGACAGCCCAUCCAUGAGGUUUUCUGCACUUAAGACUCCUUGGGGAAAAACAGCAGGUGGCUGCUUCAAGCAUAAUAGAUGUUAUUAAUGUUUGAAUAUAUAUUAAUUAGCCAAUUCAAUUUAGUUCAGUCAUGUCCGACUCUUUGCGACCCCAUGGGCUACAGGAUGCCAGGCCUCCUUGUCCAUCA